rnacentral:lncRNA from 1 species
AAAAACUGUAACAAUGUAUAUAUACUGACGUCAGUAAAGAGUCCAUUUUUAAGAUACUAAUAUCAGGCCAAAUGAUAGCCAUCGUAAGCCUCUUCAAUAAUCUUAAUACAAUGGACAAUUUGUAUCAACAACUCUUAUCAUAAAGUACACCAAGUGAUACGUUUUUUUAAAUCAAGGAAACAAGCAUACGCAUAUCAAUAUAGAUGUAAGAGAAAUUUGUUUUAGAUAAUCUCGACUGUGCUCUCUAGUGUACAGCAAAUCCAAGUCUUCGUCUUCACUGCCUAUUCGGACAUAUUCUGUUUUUGACAUAUUCAUAAUCACAUAAUGCUAAAAAACAGAUAUGGCAAGGAUGGCAAAGCAGCAGGCCCAGAUAAUAUACAAACAGAACUACCCAAACUAAUGGACAACGAAUCAACAUCAAUAAUCACAAAGAUACUCAACAACAUAUACAAAUCUGGAGAAGUACCAACAGAAUGGCUGAAGUAUUUUUUAUGGUAUUGAAUCGUGGACAUAUAUCAGAGAAUACUUAAGAUCUCGUGGACUGAUCGAGUCAUAAAUGAUGAUGUCCUCAGAAGAAUGAACGCAUGGAAGAAUCCUUCAAAAAUAUUUGGAAAGCGUGGUCCACGAAAAAAAAAGAACAUCCUGGUUAAAGAACCUUAGAACCUGGUUUCCCGCACUGCUGCAGAUAGAAUCAAGAUUGCUUUGAUGAUCGCCAACAUUUGUAACGGAUAGGCACAUAGGAAGAAUAAUUACUGUUAUACUGAGUAAAUAAACAGAAUUUUUUUUAUCAAAAUUUGUAACGGAUAUCAAAAUCGCCAACAUUUGUAACGGAUGGGCACAUCAAGAAGAAUUAAUGUUAUAUUGAGUAAAUAAAUCUUACAAAAAUUG